AUCCCAUGUUCAGGACACUUCCUCAAUAAUUCCUUGUACCUUUCCCAUACUUCAUACAAAGUUUCAGACUCCAUUAGUCAAAAAAAAGAUAUGUCAUUUUUUAGCUU